UCAUUCAACAAUAUGUAUUGAGAGUUUUUGUCUUUUGUUUUUGUUUCAGUCCUGAACGGUUGAACUCAGAACCCUUACACUGAAACGGAGAAAAGUAGAAGCCGUUUCCAAGUGGCAGGUGAAACCAGCAUUACAGCAGAAACAAGAUGCUCCAUCCACCCCAACCCAUCCAGGUUGCCUGUUUACUCAGUAAGAUCGGUGAAGAAAUGAGAAAACCACUUCAGCGCUUUCAAGCCCGAAGUCUUUCAUUUUAAGUGAAUCGGUUUCAGGGGUGGAGGAAUGUCUGAGUAGUUCAGGAAUGAAACCCUAAGUCAGGAAGCUCCUGCCAGCUCUGGGGCUGGAGGAGCAACGCAAGGAGACGCUCUCGGGACAAGUGGAAGGCUGCCAGCCUGGAACCUCAGAAGAUGCCCUGCUGGGCCCCGAGGGGAGGCGCUCCGGAAAGCGAGGAGCUGCAGAGCAGAUCCACACCAGAGAUGCCGCGAGAGGCAGCGGUAUCUGGAGUGAGAUCAGCCGGCUUCCCACUGGCCAAACCCUGCCACAAAUACUAAAAGGACUCUGUGUAAAGGAAAAGCCAUUGUAGUUUGCCACAGUUCUGGCACCAGAUGGCACCCGUUCCUUCAGAGGUAACUACAGAAGAGCCUCAACAAGACAAGACAUGCACG
rnacentral:lncRNA from 1 species